AGAGUUUGAUCCUGGCUCAGAUUGAACGCUGGCGGCAGGCCUAACACAUGCAAGUCGAGCGGAAACGAGUUAUCUGAACCUUCGGGGAACGAUAACGGCGUCGAGCGGCGGACGGGUGAGUAAUGCCUAGGAAAUUGCCCUGAUGUGGGGGAUAACCAUUGGAAACGAUGGCUAAUACCGCAUGAUGCCUACGGGCCAAAGAGGGGGACCUUCGGGCCUCUCGCGUCAGGAUAUGCCUAGGUGGGAUUAGCUAGUUGGUGAGGUAAGGGCUCACCAAGGCGACGAUCCCUAGCUGGUCUGAGAGGAUGAUCAGCCACACUGGAACUGAGACACGGUCCAGACUCCUACGGGAGGCAGCAGUGGGGAAUAUUGCACAAUGGGCGCAAGCCUGAUGCAGCCAUGCCGCGUGUGUGAAGAAGGCCUUCGGGUUGUAAAGCACUUUCAGUCGUGAGGAAGGUAGUGUAGUUAAUAGCUGCAUUAUUUGACGUUAGCGACAGAAGAAGCACCGGCUAACUCCGUGCCAGCAGCCGCGGUAAUAC
rnacentral:rRNA from 1 species